UGGGGAAUAUUGCACAAUGGGGGGAAACCCUGAUGCAGCGACGCCGCGUGAGUGAGGAAGUAUUUCGGUAUGUAAAACUCUAUCAGCAGGGAAGAUAAUGACGGUACCUGACUAAGAAGCACCGGCUAAAUACGUGCCAGCAGCCGCGGUAAUACGUAUGGUGCAAGCGUUAUCCGGAUUUACUGGGUGUAAAGGGUGCGUAGGUGGUAUGGCAAGUCAGAAGUGAAAGGCUGGGGCUCAACCCCGGGACUGCUUUUGAAACUGUCAAACUAGAGUACAGGAGAGGAAAGCGGAAUUCCUAGUGUAGCGGUGAAAUGCGUAGAUAUUAGGAGGAACACCAGUGGCGAAGGCGGCUUUCUGGACUG
rnacentral:rRNA from 1 species